rnacentral:lncRNA from 1 species
UUUGACUUGCUUCUCCCGUUGACUUUAGACUUACUUGAUGCUCUUGAUGCAACAGACUAUAAAAUAUUCUCGCAGGCUUGUUUCUCGAUCAGAUGAUAGGAAGAAAGAUCUUCGCCAUAUGUCUCUGCAUGCAUUACGUCAAAGCUGGUUGCGGCUGGUACUGAGAUCAAACGUUCCACUUUCUCUGGGGAGAGCUGGAAUCUUACUUUUUGCAUAUCCAAUCUGUGCUUUGCAGAAAAACCUACAAGCCAUCAAAAACAAAC